GGGCUUGUUGAGAGGCUUGGUUCCUUACGGGGAACUCGGAUUCUAUGGUGAUGAAUCUGGGAGUGGUGAUCCUGUAGUUGGUCACCAAAUGGGUAUACCGAGUCGUGUUGAGUCAUGCAUGGGUGUGUGCAUUGCAUUUGAUGUGUUGUUUUGUUGAUGUUCAUGAGUUGUUGAUUAUGAUGAUGAUUAUAAGCUGUGUUGGCAUAUGUGAAAUAUAUAAUUAUGUUUAUAUUUCUGUCGUUAUAUUAUUAUUUAAUAAUGUAAUUCUCACCCCUUCUGCAUGUGUUUAUGUUCAUCUAUGAUGAGCAAUGUGCAGAUAAAGCGGAGUAGCUACUGUUGAGGUUUGAAG
rnacentral:lncRNA from 1 species